ACGAUCAAUUCCACCAAGGACGCAAUCAGGUGUACAUUAUCUACUACACUGCUUGAAAUUGCUUCAUCUACUGGUUAAAUAACAGCCUAGCAAGAUUUUGUGAUUUUGUUUUGCAAGGAUCUGCAACAGUAUUAGCUGUGCCUGUGUUAAAAAUUAAACCUCCAACCGAAGCACAGUUGAAAACGACUACACCUGGGUGGUCUCUACAUAGAGAAAACCAAACAUAGCACGUUUGAGCAACAUAUGUAAUGACUGCAUUCAGGAAAACAUUUAACUCCAUGUUCAUGAACUGUAUUUGAAUAAUGGCAAGAGGAAGAAAAAAAUUGUUGAAUCAAGGCCUGUUACAAGUGUAGUAAACAGCUUUAUCUGGGUAAAGCUUCAUCUAAAAUAAGAAGGGCAGAUGGAAAGGAACACACUGUUUGAACAAUUACCCAGGUAGACAGCUGCAUGUUGUUACUAAAAGUUCAACUACUAGUUCCAUAUGACUCUAUGACUUUGUGCAGGUCAUUUCAUUUUGAAAUGAAGGAAGAAGAAUGAAGAUUGUAUACUCACUUAUAAGAUUAAAAUGAAGAUUACAUACUCAGUUUUGUAAGGACAACUCAAAUAUCUUCGAGGGGAGCAACACGCGAUUUGCAAGUACUUUGAGGGAAUCUGGUGCACAAGAGCACAUUCAAGGGGAGGACCCCUCACUCAUCCCCUGCUCCAGC